rnacentral:rRNA from 1 species
UACGUAGGGGGCAAGCGUUGUCCGGAUUUAUUGGGCGUAAAGAGCGUGUAGGCGGCCACCCAGGUCUGGUGUGAAAACUCGAGGCUCAACCUCGAGCUGUCGGUGGAAACCGUGUGGCUAGAGUCCGGAAGAGGAGAGUGGAAUUCCUGGUGUAGCGGUGAAAUGCGCAGAUAUCAGGAAGAACACCCGUGGCGAAGGCGGCUCGCUGGGACGGUACUGACGCUGAGGUGCGAAAGCGUGGGGAGCAAACAGG